GCGCCGACCGCGCCAGAGCAGCUCUGCCAGAUGCAGCUGUGGCACAAUGGGGAGGGGGGAUGCGGUGAGACCACGGUGUCCCCACGGCACCGUACGGCACAGCUCAGCCCCACGGCGUCCCCAUGGCACAGCUCAGCCCCACGGCGUCCCCACGGUGCCCCCACGGCACUGUAUGGCAUAGCUCAGCCCCACAGCGUCCCCAUGGUGUCCCCAUGGCACAGCUCAGCCCCACGGCGUCCCCAUUGCACCGUAUGGCACAGCUCAGCCCCACAGCACCGUAUGGCACAGCUCAGCCCCACGGUGUCCCCAUGGUGUCCCCAUGGCAGAGCUCAGCCCCAUAGCAUCCCCAUGGCACAGCUCAGCCCCAUGGCAUCCCUAUGGCACAGCUCAGCCCCACAGCAUCCCCAUAGCACAGCUCAGCCCCACAGUAUCCCCAUGGCACCGUAUGGCACAGCUCAGCCCCACAGCGUCCCCAUGGUGUCCCCAUGGCACAGCUCAGCCCCACGGUGUCCCCAUGGCACCGUAUGGCACAGCUCAGCCCCACGGCACCAUAUGGCACAGCUCAGCCCCACGGCGUCCCCAUGGCACAGCUCAGCCCCAUGGUGCCCCUAUGGUGUCCCCACGGCACCGUAUGGCACAGCUCAGACCCAUGGUGUCCCCAUGGCACUGUAUGGCACAGCUCAGCCCCACGGCGUCCCCAUGGCACAGCUCAGCCCCACGGCGUCCCCACGGUGUCCCCACGGCACUGUAUGGCACAGCUCAGCCCCACAGCCACCAUAUGGCACAGCUCAGCCCCACAGCGUCCCCAUGGCACAGCUCAGCCCCACAGCACCGUAUGGCACAGCACAGCCCCACAGUGUCCCCAUGGCCCCACGGUGUCCCCAUGG
ensembl:lncRNA